rnacentral:rRNA from 1 species
GAUGCACGGGUCGGACGUGUCGACGUCCGCGGACGGCGUGCACUUCUCUCUCAGUAUACAUCGCGACCCGUUCGCUGUCUAAGCGCGGUCCGGGAGCCGAGCGGCCGGACGGUAGUCUAUGAAUCGCGCACGCGCCUCCGCGCGUCAGGCCCGACGCAAGUGGCGUCGUCCUGCCUAUGUGCGGACGCGGGCGCGGCGCCGCUGUCGUCGCAGCCGCAGUCUCUGACCGUGCGCGUUUCUGUCGGCGAUGUUUCAGUUUCGGGCACUCGCAGGACCCGUCUUGAAACACGGACCAAGGAGUCUAGCAUGUGUGCGAGUCAUUGAGUUAAAACUGAGAGGCGCAACGAAAGUGAAGGCGCGCGCCGCGCGCUCAGGGGGGAUGGAGGGACGCGCUCUCGCACCCCCGAGGCGUCUCGUUUCCAAUCCGUGAAUGCAGGCGCGCUCUGAGCACAGAUGCUGGGACCCGAAAGAUGGUGAACUAUGCCUGGUCAGGUCGAAGUCAGGGGAAACCCUGAUGGAGGACCGUAGCGAUUCUGACGUGCAAAUCGAUCGUC